rnacentral:rRNA from 1 species
CUACGGGUUGCUCCAGUGGGGAAUAUUGCACAAUGGAGGAAACUCUGAUGCAGCAACGCCGCGUGGAGGAUGACACUUUUCGGAGCGUAAACUCCUUUUAUAUAGGAAGAAGAUGACGGUACUAUAUGAAUAAGCGCCGGCUAACUCCGUGCCAGCAGCCGCGGUAAUACGGAGGGCGCAAGCGUUACUCGGAAUCACUGGGCGUAAAGAGCGUGUAGGCGGAUUAAAAAGUCAGAAGUGAGAUCCUAUAGCUUAACUAUAGAACUGCUUCUGAAACUCUUAAUCUAGAAUAUGGGAGAGGUAGAUGGAAUUUCUGGUGUAGGGGUAAAAUCCGUAGAGAUCAGAAGGAAUACCGAUUGCGAAGGCGAUCCACUAGAACAUUAUUGACGCUGAGACGCGAAAGCGUGGGGAGCAAACAGGAUUAGAUACCCCCGUAGUC